AUUGAACGCUGGCGGCAGGCUUAACACAUGCAAGUCGAGCGGGGGAAGGUAGCUUGCUACCGGACCUAGCGGCGGACGGGUGAGUAAUGCUUAGGAAUCUGCCUAUUAGUGGGGGACAACAUCUCGAAAGGGAUGCUAAUACCGCAUACGUCCGACGGGAGAAAGCAGGGGAUCUUCGGACCUCGCGCUAAUAGAUGAGCCUAAGUCGGAUUAGCUAGUUGGUGGGGUAAAGGCCUACCAAGGCGACGAUCUGUAGCGGGUCUGAGAGGAUGAUCCGCCACACUGGGACUGAGACACGGCCCAGACUCCUACGGGAGGCAGCAGUGGGGAAUAUUGGACAAUGGGGGGAACCCUGAUCCAGCCAUGCCGCGUGUGUGAAGAAGGCCUUAUGGUUGUAAAGCACUUUAAGCGAGGAGGAGGCUACUCUAGUUAAUACCUAGGGAUAGUGGACGUUACUCGCAGAAUAAGCACCGGCUAACUACGUGCCAGCCGCCGCCGUAA
rnacentral:rRNA from 1 species